rnacentral:lncRNA from 1 species
UUCCUGUUGUCAUGUGUGGGCCUUUUGUAGCUGUCUAUACAGUUUGGUUUUUGUUGCUCAUUGUUGAAGGUCUUAUGGUGAACUAUAGAUGCUUACUUCCACAUCUCCUUAUUUUUAUAUUCUACAUUGGGAUAGACCUAUGACUUUUUAAUCAGGUGGAGAUCAGUUUGAAAGAACAAACUAAUAGGUCUCAUGUUUCUCAAAUAAAAGAUUGAUUAAUAGAUUUUUGGUGUUUUAACGCCACUUUUAAGCUCCGCAUUUAGGCUUUUUCGUGGUAACAAGUUUUUAUUGAUGGAGGAAGCCAGGAUGCCCAGAGAAAACCACCGACCUUCAAUAGGUAAACUGACAAUCCUAGUCAAUUAAGAUUAUAGUCGAGUGCACCCACAUGAGUUGGGUUCAAACUCACAACCCCAGUGUUGACUGGCUAGUGAUUACAGUAGUAACUACUAAACACUCGGCCACUGAGGCAGGGCUUCCAAAAAAUAUUUGAGCCAGCCGGACAUUUCAUAUCUGAUCCCGAUUUUAAUUCCUUAAGACUUAGUCACAAAAGGCAAUAGUAUGGUAAUCAGACGGCCAUUCCAAUGAUUGACAUACAUGAAAAAAAAAUUUUAAACUUUACUUUGAUAUGAUAUGAAUUUGAUGUUCGGAUGUAACUGUUAAAUUGGCAGUGCAUCAUUCAAAGUGUGCACAUCAGCGUGCUCCUAUCUGCCUUAGACUUUUUAUUUGUGCAAAAUGACAUUGUCAAAAACUUUACUUUCGUUUUCAACCGGAUGUUGACUUGACAAUGGUAAAACAUGGACCAUAAACGGAUACGUAAAAUCCGUGUACGUUUACAAAGCACGACUGAGAGAAGAAGCUCUUUCCACGUUAUUUCUUCAACAAAAUACUUGAAUUGAACGUUAGAUACAGGUAUCAAUGAUAAUUUUAGCAUUUUUAAAGAAAUGUAGGAUGCAUUAUUGAAUUUCCCACCUGUGCACAUGCGCACACGUGUUCUAGUUCAUACGACGUAGUUCUGACGAUUUUUUAUUUAAAACCUUUUUAUAAAAUUUUUCAUCAAAUCAUGUUGAUAAACUAAUUUCUAAUAAUUUUAAUCUUUUGGACUAAAUCAAUUAGAUACAAACCGCUGAAAUGUAAGAAAAUAAAUUGUGAAUAAACCGAUCAAUUUAUACGAUGUCCGGUACUGAACAUAGUUCACCUGUCACCUGAACAGGUAGAUUUCAGCUGUCCUACUACUAAUUAGCCUUGAUUAGAAUUAGAAGGUAUUGAAGUAGGUGUUGUUUUGAUAGUAAUUAAUCAUCAUGUCACAUUUAUGACCGGAAAUGUGUUGAUGUUAAAGGCAAAAAGUUGGGUCAAAAAGAUCGUGAAUUAUGUAAAAAUGACCGAAAAAGCCUUGAAAACUAAAAAGUAUAUGACCGUUCAUGCUUUGCCCAGCCGGACUUUUACCGGACAUUAUACAAAUGACCGGAAUAUAUGACCGUUUUGGAAGCCUUGCACUGAGGCCAUCUCAAAUAAAAGAAGAAAAUUUUAAAUAUGUUUUAAUUUCUUUUUUUCUCCUGUAAAAAAUCUACACAGAUACCUAGAAACAUGACUUUUGCUACUUUUCCAUCAAUCAUUUUGAAAGAAUCUAUUGAAGAUAUCAUGUGUGAUUGCGUGCUUUUUUCUCGUUUUCAUGGACAGCAAUGACAACCAAAUAAAACCCAAACUGUAUAUGUAACUAAUAAUUUCAUAAUUAAAUAAUAAAACCAUAAAAAGGAUUAAAAAAACUCUGUAGUUAUCAAUGACAUAGGAACAGACAUGUGCAAAACUAUAUUGUCUGUAAGUCUAUAAACCCAGGGAUAAUACAAAAGCUGUAAAAAUCUAGUGAUCUUGUCUUUCAUCAUAUAUUUUGUUAUGCAGUGUUCUAUAAAUAGAUCAUCACAAUAAAUCAGAAUAUUGGGACUAGCUGAUAUUUAAGUACUUGCCUUCUCAACACAUUAAUAAUUCAAACAGGACCAGAAAAGCAGUUGACAUUUAUAAAUUAUCGUUGAUCAUCUCAAUGAGAUUGAUUUUCUUGCUUGAGCCGGCAUUGCAAAAGUGAGAACAGCAAUCGAGUUAAGAUGACAAAUGAUAAUCUGUUUAUCGCUAUUACCUAUGACAAAGUUGUCAAUUUCAUUAGCAACACCACAUGCCCCUUUUGUUUCUAGCAAUAAUUUUCAUAUCAAUUGACUCCGCUUAGAAAGGAAAUUAUCAGUCAACAAGAUCAAAGGAAAAUUUCAUAAAAAAGCGAUAAUACUUGUUACAGAUUAAUUGUUGGUGUUUAACACUACUUUCAACACUCUUGGAUAGCUCUUGGAUAGCAUGUUUAAUAUUAGUGGAGGAAGACCAAGUCAUCAGAGAAAUAAUUAGAACAAUGCAUUUUGAUGUAAGGCAUGAAUUAAUAUAUGAGGCUUAGAAAUAAACAGUUAAAAAUUCAUUGCAUAUAGUCUGAUAUGAAAAAUCAAAUAAAAAGCACAAAUAAAUGAUAAUAAAAUACAGAAA